GCAAGGGAGGGCCAACAUCUUUGACUCUUCAAAUCUCUGUGCUGAAGAAAAUGGAGCAAUACCAACAAAAAUUGGGAGUUUGGAACUGGAAAGUAAACAGGAAAUACUGCUAAAAUACCCAGGUAGUUUUAUGAAAGUAAUUUUUAAUAAAAAAUGGUAGGAAUAAAAGAGUGAGAAUUCUUUUUACUCUGCCUUUUUAACUUCUAUUAUGCAAUGAUAAAGUUAAAUCUUACAGCCAGACUAUGAGAAUGGAGUUAGUACUACCAGCAUUUUAUAACAGCCCUUCCCAUCAAAACACAGAAAUUCAUGGCUUGUUCGAAGCUAGGCUCCUCCUUUCAACCUGCUGAAGACCAACUCAUGACCAGAAUCUCUGGUAGAGAAAACAUGAGCUUUGGAAUCACACAGUACUGGGUUCAAGUUCUAGCAUUUGCAUGUACCAGCUUGAGUGACCAUGGGUGUGCUGUGCUCCCUAGGUCUGAAGGCCUUGUGAAUGACUGACUUCACCCUUCUGCACACUGAUCUUCCUAACAAUGUUCCAAAAGGUGUCUACUGAUUCACGGGAAAGUCUUGACCACUGCCAGGAUGAUACAGGUAGUCUACCCACACUCUGCCCUCUAGGCCAGCAGUUAUUAUGGUAUACACAUGCCCUUCAUUAACUGUUUCACUUUGCACACUGUAUCAGAAACAGUCUAACAGUGUCUUGAGGGAAUGAACCCAGAAGGUGGGUUUUCACUUGUGAGAGUGGGAGAUAGUAAUUUGAUAACGUUAUGUAUUAUGUUUCUUUCUGGUUUUUCCACUUAGAAAUAAUAAAA
rnacentral:lncRNA from 10 species